rnacentral:rRNA from 1 species
AAAGAAAAUUCGAUUCCCUUAGUAGCGGCGAGCGAAACGGGAAGAGCCCAAACCAACAAGCUUGCUUGUUGGGGUUGUAGGACACUCUAUACGGAGUUACAAAGGACGACAUUAGACGAAUCAUCUGGAAAGAUGAAUCAAAGAAGGUAAUAAUCCUGUAGUCGAAAAUGUUGUCUCUCUUGAGUGGAUCCUGAGUACGACGGAACACGUGAAAUUCCGUCGGAAUCUGGGAGGACCAUCUCCUAAGGCUAAAUACUCUCUAGUGACCGAUAGUGAACCAGUACCGUGAGGGAAAGGUGAAAAGCACCCCGGAAGGGGAGUGAAAUAGAACCUGAAACCGUGUGCUUACAAGUAGUCAGAGCCCGUUAAUGGGUGAUGGCGUGCCUUUUGUAGAAUGAACCGGCGAGUUACGAUUUGAUGCAAGGUUAAGCAGUAAAUGUGGAGCCGUAGCGAAAGCGAGUCUGAAUAGGGCGUUUAGUAUUUGGUCGUAGACCCGAAACCAGGUGAUCUACCCUUGGUCAGGUUGAAGUUCAGGUAACACUGAAUGGAGGACCGAACCGACUUACGUUGAAAAGUGAGCGGAUGAACUGAGGGUAGCGGAGAAAUUCCAAUCGAACCUGGAGAUAGCUGGUUCUCUCCGAAAUAGCUUUAGGGCUAGCCUCAAGUGAUGAUUAUUGGAGGUAGAGCACUGUUUGGACGAGGGGCCCCUCUCGGGUUACCGAAUUCAGACAAACUCCGAAUGCCAAUUAAUUUAACUUGGGAGUCAGAACAUGGGUGAUAAGGUCCGUGUUCGAAAGGGAAACAGCCCAGACCACCAGCUAAGGUCCCAAAAUAUAUGUUAAGUGGAAAAGGAUGUGGCGUUGCCCAGACAACUAGGAUGUUGGCUUAGAAGCAGCCAUCAUUUAAAGAGUGCGUAAUAGCUCACUAGUCGAGUGACACUGCGCCGAAAAUGUACCGGGGCUAAACAUAUUACCGAAGCUGUGGAUUGUCCUUUGGACAAUGGUAGGAGAGCGUUCUAAGGGCGUUGAAGCAUGAUCGUAAGGACAUGUGGAGCGCUUAGAAGUGAGAAUGCCGGUGUGAGUAGCGAAAGACGGGUGAGAAUCCCGUCCACCGAUUGACUAAGGUUUCCAGAGGAAGGCUCGUCCGCUCUGGGUUAGUCGGGUCCUAAGCUGAGGCCGACAGGCGUAGGCGAUGGAUAACAGGUUGAUAUUCCUGUACCACCUAUAAUCGUUUUAAUCGAUGGGGGGACGCAGUAGGAUAGGCGAAGCGU